CCCUUAGAUGUCCGGGGCCGCACGCGCGCUACACUGAAGGAAUCAGCGUGGCUUUCUCCCUGACCCGAAAGGGUUGGGAAACCCGUUGAAUCUCCUUCGUGAUAGGGAUUGGGGCUUGAAAUUGUUCCCCAUGAACGAGGAAUUCCCAGUAAGCGCGAGUCAUAAGCUCGCGUUGAUUACGUCCCUGCCCUUUGUACACACCGCCCGUCGCACCUACCGAUUGAAUGACUCGGUGAAAAAUUGGGACCGUGAGUCUGUUUGCUUCAUUGCGAGUGGAUUGAUGGGAACUUUUUUAAACCUCGCCAUUUAGAGGAAGGUGAAGUCGUAACA
rnacentral:rRNA from 1 species